rnacentral:rRNA from 1 species
UACGGAGGGUGCAAGCGUUAUCCGGAUUUACUGGGUUUAAAGGGUGCGUAGGCGGGUCUUUAAGUCAGUGGUGAAAACUUCGAGCUUAACUCGAAAACUGCCAUUGAUACUAUUGAUCUUGAAUUUAGUUGAGGUUGGCGGAAUGUGUCGUGUAGCGGUGAAAUGCUUAGAUAUGACACAGAACACCGAUUGCGAAGGCAGCUGGCUAAACUAAAAUUGACGCUGAGGCACGAAAGUGUGGGGAGCAAACAGG